rfam:Anopheles darlingi Cont7069, whole genome shotgun sequence.
CAAACGGUCCUUUUCAGGACCACUAAAACCAUCCCACUAAAAGAAU